AUUGAACGCUAGCGGGAUGCUUUACACAUGCAAGUCGAACGGCAGCGCGGACUUCGGUCUGGCGGCGGGUGGCGAACGGGUGAGUAAUGUAUCGGAACGUGCCCAGUAGCGGGGGAUAACUACGCGAAAGCGUAGCUAAUACCGCAUACGCCCUACGGGGGAAAGCAGGGGAUCGUAAGACCUUGCACUAUUGGAGCGGCCGAUAUCGGAUUAGCUAGUUGGUGAGGUAACGGCUCACCAAGGCGACGAUCCGUAGCUGGUUUGAGAGGACGACCAGCCACACUGGGACUGAGACACGGCCCAGACUCCUACGGGAGGCAGCAGUGGGCAAUUUUGGACAAUGGGGGCAACCCUGAUCCAGCCAUCCCGCGUGUGCGAUGAAGGCCUUCGGGUUGUAAAGCACUUUUGGCAGGAAAGAAACGUCGCGGGCUAAUACCCCGUGGAACUGACGGUACCUGCAGAAUAAGCACCGGCUAACUACGUG
rnacentral:rRNA from 1 species